rnacentral:rRNA from 1 species
CAGCAGCCGCGGGAAAACGUAGGGUGCGAGCGUUAAUCGGAAUUACUGGGCGUAAAGCGGGCGCAGACGGUUACUUAAGCAGGAUGUGAAAUCCCCGGGCUCAACCUGGGAAUUGCGUUCUGAACUGGGUGGCUAGAGUGUGUCAGAGGGGGGUAGAAUUCCACGUGUAGCAGUGAAAUGCGUAGAGAUGUGGAGGAAUACCGAUGGCGAAGGCAGCCCCCUGGGAUAGCACUGACGUUCAUGCCCGAAAGCGUGGGUAGCAAACAGGAUUAGAUACCCCUGUAGUCCCUGUCUCUUAUAC